AGAAUUUUCAAAACUUUAUUGUAAUCAAUGAAGCAAAAGUUCUGUCACUUGUAAAUUACACUAGCCAAUGUUAACUGUUGAGUAACAUGCACAAACUAUUCGAGUUUGUCGGUUAACCGAGUCAAAUCCGAGUCCGAGUCAAAUCCGAGCCCGAGUCAAAUGUCCGAGUCAUAGUUUAAUCGAUGGUCUUUGCAGUUCAACGACUUAGUACCUAAUCCUAACCAUAAUCCCACUCCUAACUUACCCUAACCCUAUUCAACUGUGAAUUUUAUUCAAUUUCGGAGUUUGUCGGUUACUGACUGACUCAAAUUCGAGUUCGAGUCAAAUGUCCGAGUCACUGUUUAACUGUCUUUGUCGAUAAAAUGACUUAGUACCCUAACCCUAAAGCUACUCCUAACCCUAUUCGACUGUGAAUUUUCUUCACUUUCGUCUUUUUUUUACGCGACUCGGGCGUUUGACUCGGGCUCGGGACUGACUCAGA